GACAAACGCUGGCGGCGUGCCUAACACAUGCAAGUCGAGCGCGGAGGGGACUUCGGUCCCCCGUAAGCGGCGAACGGGUGAGUAACACGUGGGCAACCUGCCUCAAGGACUGGGAUAACUCCGGGAAACCGGGGCUAAUACCGGGCGAUGUCGUCUGACGCAAGCCGGCCGACCAAAUGGUAGCUUCGGCCUCCGCCUUGAGAUGGGCCCGCGUCCUAUCAGGUUGUUGGUGAGGUAACGGCUCACCAAGGCUACGACGGGUAGCUGGGCUGAGAGGAUGAUCAGCCACACUGGGACUGAGAUACGGCCCAGGCUCCUACGGGAGGCAGCAGUGGGGAAUUUUGCGCAAUGGGCGAAAGCCUGACGCAGCAACGCCGCGUGAGCGAAGAAGGCCUUCGGGUUGUAAAGCUCUGUCAGGGGGAAAGAGGGCACCUGGGUUAAUAGCCCAAGGGCUGACGGUACCCCCAAAGGAAGCCACGGCUAACUACGUGCCAGCCGCCGCGGUAAGAC
rnacentral:rRNA from 1 species